CCUACGGGAGUCUGCAGUGGGGAAUAUUGGACAAUGGGGGGAACCCUGAUCCAGCCAUGCCGCGUGUGUGAAGAAGGCCCUCGGGUUGUAAAGCACUUUCAGUGAGGAAGAACGCCUGGUGGUUAAUACCCAUCAGGAAAGACAUCACUCACAGAAGAAGCACCGGCUAACUCCGUGCCAGCAGCCGCGGUAAUACGGAGGGUGCGAGCGUUAAUCGGAAUUACUGGGCGUAAAGCGCGCGUAGGUGGCUUGAUAAGCCGGUUGUGAAAGCCCCGGGCUCAACCUGGGAACGGCAUCCGGAACUGUCAAGCUAGAGUGCAGGAGAGGAAGGUAGAAUUCCCGGUGUAGCGGUGAAAUGCGUAGAGAUCGGGAGGAAUACCAGUGGCGAAGGCGGCCUUCUGGACUGACACUGACACUGAGGUGCGAAAGCGUGGGUAGCAAACAGGAUUAGAUACCCGGGUAGUC
rnacentral:rRNA from 1 species